CUUGCUUCAAUUGCCGGCGACCGGCGCACGGGUGAGUAACGCGUAUCCAACCUUCCGUACACUCAGGGAUAGCCUUUCGAAAGAAAGAUUAAUACCUGAUGGUAUGAUGAGAUUGCAUGAUAGCAUCAUUAAAGAUUUAUCGGUGUACGAUGGGGAUGCGUUCCAUUAGGUAGUAGGCGGGGUAACGGCCCACCUAGUCUUCGAUGGAUAGGGGUUCUGAGAGGACGAUCAGCCACAUUGGAACUGAGACACGGUCCAGACUCC
rnacentral:rRNA from 1 species